rnacentral:rRNA from 1 species
UACGGAGGGUGCAAGCGUUGUCCGGAUUUAUUGGGUUUAAAGGGUGCGUAGGCGGCCUCUUAAGUCAGUGGUGAAAGCCCGCGGCUCAACCGCGGAACUGCCAUUGAUACUGGGAGGCUUGAGUACAGACGAGGUAGGCGGAAUUGAAGAUGUAGCGGUGAAAUGCUUAGAUAUCUUCAAGAACACCGAUUGCGUAGGCAGCUUACUAGGCUGUAACUGACGCUGAGGCACGAAAGCGUGGGGAGCGAACAGG